rnacentral:lncRNA from 1 species
CUCAUCCUUUCUCUGAUUGCAACCAGAUCCCACAAGUCGUGGUGACAUGUGGCAAUCUCCAGUUCAUGAUUGGUUGGCUCCACUACAACAGCACGAUCCCUUCAACCACGCCCAUCAGCACAACUGAUUAGAGAUGAAGGCACUGCACUUAAUGUGGGCGGUAGUGGUGCAUGCCGCCAGUCUUACACGGCACAGAAUGCAAACCAUGUGCUGCAUACUAUAGUACUACUAUAAUACUAAUACUAUACUAAUACUGUUAACCUUGUUUGUAAACAAACAAUGAUUAGCUGGCACUUAUGAGUUCCUGAUGUGAUUGUUAUUGUUAGUACACCUGGUUCUGUCAAUUCUGUUAAACACAAUAUUUGGAACAAAUUUUAGCUUUUGACCAAGUAAUGAACGUUUCCUGUCCUAUUGUAGUAGAUCUAGCGAGAUGUUUGUUGUGCAGCUUUGAAAGCAUUACUCUAUUGCUCAUUAUUGUUACUCAUCGUGACACCUGACAGGGCCCUGUAACAAAUUUGUAAGAUGUGUAGCAGUCUGGUACGUUAUUGUACAAUUGUGGUAAUCACUCAAAUACUCUCUGGUCUGUAUGGACAGUGUUUCUGUGACAAGACACACGUCCAAUGAUUUGCUGAGAGAUUGGUCACAAAAAAAAGUAAGUUUGGCAAUUAUUUGAGUCACUGUAGGAUAAUUCUAUAAAAGGGUUGUAAAACAGGUAAAGACAUCGUCUUGGCAACGAGGUGGUAGCAUCCUCAACGAAGAGGCUCCUGCAGCUGGCGUCUACGCAGCCACACAAUCUACACUCGGGUCACCCGAUAAAGGCCAUCAAGUUCCAACAUUUUGCGGCACAUUUAUCAAAACAUGCAAAGGCAUAGUACAGUGCGACUGAUUUUGGUAUCUGAACUCUACAACACGAUGUGACCGUGUCUCAGAGGUGGUGUCCUAGUUCUUUGUCUGCAUUAGUUACGUUCUCCUAUAUACCUGUGUGCAUGUUUUUUGUCCUGUUUUUUGCUCUUUCAUAUUCAAUAAAGUACAAGAAAAUGA